rnacentral:misc_RNA from 1 species
AACGCACAUUGCGCCCUCUGGUAUUCCGGGGGGCAUGCCUGUUCGAGCGUCAUUACAACCCUCAAGCUCUGCUUGGUAUUGGGUGUCACCAGCUCUGGUGCACCUUAAAAUCAGUGGCGGUGUCAUUCGGCUUCAAGCGUAGUAAUACUUCCCGCUUCUGGAGUCCGGGUGCGUGCUGGCCAGUAACCCCAACUUUUUUAAUGGUUGACCUCGGAUCAGGUAGGGAUACCCGCUGAACUUAA